AUUGAACGCUGGCGGAAUGCUUUACACAUGCAAGUCGAACGGCAGCACGGACUUCGGUCUGGUGGCGAGUGGCGAACGGGUGAGUAAUGUAUCGGAACGUGCCCAGUCGUGGGGGAUAACGUAGUGAAAAUUACGCUAAUACCGCAUACGAUCUAUGGAUGAAAGCGGGGGAUCGCAAGACCUCGCGCGAUUGGAGCGGCCGAUAUCAGAUUAGGUAGUUGGUGGGGUAAAGGCCCACCAAGCCAACGGUCUGUAGCUGGUCUGAGAGGACGACCAGCCACACUGGAACUGAGACACGGUCCAGACUCCUACGGGAGGCAGCAGUGGGGAAUUUUGGACAAUGGGCGAAAGCCUGAUCCAGCCAUUCCGCGUGCAGGAUGAAGGCCCUCGGGUUGUAAACUGCUUUUGUACAGAACGAAAAGGUUUCUACUAAUACUAGGAGCUCAUGACGGUACUGUAAGAACAAGCACCGGCUAACUACGUGCCAGCCGCCGCGGUAA
rnacentral:rRNA from 1 species